rnacentral:rRNA from 1 species
CAUCGCCUCUUGCAAAACAAAUAUAAGAGGUCCCGCCUGCCCUGUGACCAUGAGUUUAACGGCCGCGGUAUUUUGACCGUGCAAAGGUAGCGCAAUCACUUGUCUUUUAAAUGAAGACCUGUAUGAAUGGCAUGACGAGGGCUUAACUGUCUCUUCUUUCCAGUCAAUGAAACUGAUCUCCCCGUGCAGAAGCGGGGAUACCCUCAUAAGACGAGAAGACCCUAUGGAGCUUUAGACGGAGGACAGACCAUGUUAAACACCUCUAAACAAAGAACAAAACUAAUUGGUGCCUGCUCUAAUGUCUUUGGUUGGGGCGACCGCGGGGAAACAAAAAACCCCCAUGUGGACCGAAGAUACCCCUCUUCACAGUCAAGAACCACAGCUCUAAACAACAGAACUUCUGACCAACAAGAUCCGGCAAAGCCGAUCAACGGACCGAGUUACCCUAGGGAUAACAGCGCAAUCUCCUUCUAGAGCCCAUAUCGACAAGGAGGUUUACGACCUCGAUGUUGGAUCAGGACAUCCUAAUGGUGCAGCCGCUAUUAAGGGUUCGUUUCUUCAACGAUUAAAGUCCUACGUGAUCUG